GACGAACGCUGGCGGCGUGCUUGAUACAUGCAAGUCGAGCGGACUUAAGAUGAAUUGGUUUACCAAUACGUUUUAAGUUAGCGGCGGACGGGUGAGUAACGCGUGGGCAACCUGCCCCGAAGUCUGGGAUAACACUGUGAAAGCGGUGCUAAUACCAGAUGAUGUCCAUGGGACGCAUGUUCCGUGGAAGAAAGCCGAAAGGCGCUUUGGGAUGGGCCCGCGUUCCAUUAGCUAGUUGGUGAGGUAAGGGCUCACCAAGGCGACGAUGGAUAGCCGGCCUGAGAGGGUGACCGGCCACACUGGGACUGAGACACGGCCCAGACUCCUACGGGAGGCAGCAGUAGGGAAUUUUGCGCAAUGGGGAAAACCCUGACGCAGCGACGCCGCGUGAGCGAUGAAGGCCUUCGGGUCGUAAAGCUCUGUCCAUGGGGACGAUAAUGACGGUACCCGUGGAGGAAGCCCCGCUAACUACGUGCCAGCAGCCCGCGGUAAGACGUAGGGGGCGAGCGUUGUCCGGAAUUA
rnacentral:rRNA from 1 species